rnacentral:rRNA from 1 species
UGGGGAAUAUUGGACAAUGGGCGCAAGCCUGAUCCAGCCAUACCGCGUGAGUGAAGAAGGCCUUCGGGUUGUAAAGCUCUUUCAGACGGAAAGAAACGGUUACGGCUAAUACCCGUGACUAAUGACGGUACCGUAAGAAGAAGCACCGGCUAACUACGUGCCAGCAGCCGCGGUAAUACGUAGGGUGCGAGCGUUAAUCGGAAUUACUGGGCGUAAAGCGUGCGCAGGCGGUUUGGUAAGACAGAUGUGAAAUCUCCGAGCUUAACUCGGAACGGUCAACUGAUACUGUCACACUAGAGUACAGAAGGGGCAAUCGGAAUUCUUGGUGUAGCGGUGAAAUGCGUAGAUAUCAAGAGGAACACCUGAGGCGAAGGCGGGUUGCUGGGCUGAUACUGACGCUGAGGCGCGAAAGCUAGGGUAGCAAACGGGAUUAGAUACCCGAGUAGUCCCUGAGCGGGCUGGCAAGGCGCAU